GCUAGAGCAAUCUGGAAACUCAUCCAUGGCAGUUUUUGUCGAGUCAAGUCAGAAAUUUUCCGAGUGCAAAGGGAAACUUGGCACCACAGAGUAAGAGCAGUUAGAGAAAGCCCCUUCUGCAGAGCACAGAAAGAAGAAGAGAGACGACCUUGGUCCUUCCUUGUCGACGCAGAAACCCAAAACCCCAACACAACUCAAGAAACCCAAAUGACGAUAAAGAGAACCCAGAAUUUUCGCAGUGCAAAAUCAAGACAAACGCAGCUCGAACAAGAAAAAGGGGCUACGGAAGUACCCACUUCUUUUUAAGAUAAUCAGAUCUGGGAAAGUGGAAGAAAGGAAAAGGAAAUUCGGGGCAAAAAUUGUUGGAAGAUGUCGAGGCUCAGAUUCACCUUAGAUCAGACAACUGAAAGGAACCCCGCCAUGGCUGCGACCGGUUCUGGCCGCCCCGCCAAGAUACGGUCGGCUCUCGGUGCCUGCCCGGUUUCAUUUUCUCUCUCCUCCG